rnacentral:rRNA from 1 species
UUUUUAAUGGUUGACCUCGGAUCAGGUAGGAAUACCCGCUGAACUUAAGCAUAUCAAUAAGGCGGAGGAAAA